rnacentral:tRNA from 1 species
GGUCCGGUAGUUCAGUUGGUUAGAAUACCUGCCUGUCACGCAGGGGGNNACAGAAGUCUCGCUUAACGGCGGGACUU